rnacentral:rRNA from 1 species
GAUCAUGGCUCAGGAUGAACGCUGGCGGCGUGCUUAACACAUGCAAGUCGAGCGAAGCGCUUUUGCGGAUUUCUUCGGAUUGAAGCAACUGUGACUGAGCGGCGGACGGGUGAGUAACGCGUGGGUAACCUACCGUCAUACAGGGGGAUAACAGUUGGAAACGGCUGCUAAUACCGCAUAAAGCGGCACAGUACCGCAUGGUACCGUGUGAAAAACUCCGGUGGUAUGAGAUGGACCCGCGUCG